CUGUUGGGAUUAUUUUUUCUUGCUGAUUUGUUUUCCUUGUUAAUUCUAGAUAUUAAUUAUUUGCUAGAUGCAUACUUUGUAAACAUUUUCUUCUAUUCUCUGAGUUAUCUGUUUACUGUGAUGACUAUUUCUUUUGCUGUGAAGGUUUUUAGUUUACUUAUGUCCUUUUUAUUUAUUUUUGUUUUUGUUGCACUUACUUUUGGAGUCUUAGUCAUAAAGUUUUGGCUUAGGUAAAUAUCCAGAUGUGUUUUUCUUAGUUUUUUUCCAGAAUUUUUAUGGUUUUGGGUUUUAUAUUUAAGUCUGAUCCAUCUUCUAAUUUUUGUAGAUGGUGAGAAAGAGUGAUCCAGUUUCAUUCUUCUACAUGUGGCUGUCUUGUUUUCCCUGCAUCAUUUAUUGAAUAGGGUGUCCUUUCCUAUUUAUGUUUUUGAAUGCUUUGUGGAGGAUCAGUUGGUUGUAUACAUUUGGCUUUAUUUCUGGUUUCUCUAUUCCUUUCCUUUGGUUUAUUUAUCUACCUUUAUACCAGUACCAUGCAUGCUGUUUUGAUUACUAAAACCUUGUAUUAUAACUUGAAGUCUCUUAAAACUAUGCCUCCGGAUUUGUUCUUUUUGCUCAGAGUUGCUUUUUUAAUUCAAGCUUAUUUCUGGUUUCAUAAGAAUUUAGAAUUGCUUUCUCUAAUUCUAUGAAAAAUGAUGUCAGUAUUUUGAUAGGAAGUGCAUUGAAUCUGUAGAUUGCUUUUAGCAGUAAGGUCAUUUUCACAAAUAUGAUUCUUCCUAUCCAUGAGCAUGGGAUGUAUUUCCAUUUGUUUAUAUCAUCUCUAAUUUAUUUCAGCAGUUUUUGUAGCUCUCCUUAUGGAGAUCUUUCACUUAUUUGGUUAAGUGUAUUUCAAUUUUUUUUCUGCUGCUAUUGUAAAAGAAAUUGAGUUCUUGAUUUGAUUCUCAGCUUGAUCAUUGUUGGUGCUAUGCAGUAGUACUAAUUUGUGUACAUUCAUUUUGUAACCUAAGAUUUUAUGAAUUCAUUCAUCAAAUAGAAGAGUCUUUUGGUGGAAUUCUUAGGUUUAUCUAAGUAUAUGCUUAAAUCAUCAGCAAACAGAGAUAAUUUGUCUUCCUCUUUUCCAGCUUGGAUGCCCUUUAUUUCUUCCUCUUGCUUGAUUGCUCUGGGUAGGACUUCCAGUACUAUGUUAAGUAGAAGUGGUGAAAAUGGGCAUCCUUAACUUGUUCUAGCCCUCAGUGGGAAGACUUUCAACUUUUCCCCAUUCAAUAUGAUGUUGGCCAUGGGUUUGUCAUAUAUAGCUUUUAUUAUUUUGAGAUAUGUUUAUUCUAUGUCUAGUUUGUUUAGGGUUUUUAUCAUAAAGCAAUGCUGGAUUUUACUGAAUGUUUUUAUGCAUCUAUUGAGAUGAUCAUACGUAUUUGGUUUUUAAUUCUGUUUAUAAAAUACAUCACAUUUAUUACCUUGCGUAUGUUGAGUCAUCCUUGCCUCCCUGGGAUGAGACUCACUUGAUUAUAGUGAAUUGUCUUUUUGAUAUGUUUUUGGAUUUGAUUUGCCAGUAUCUGUUAAGAAUUUUUGCGUAUGUCUUUAUCAGAGAUGUUCAUUUGUAGUUUUCUUUUUUUAUGAUAUGCCUUUUUCUGGUUUUGGUAUCAGGGUGAUACUGGCUUCAUAGAAUGAGUUAAGGAGGAUUCCCUUUUUCUCAGUCUUUUAGAGUAGUUUCAGUAGGCUUGGUACCAGUUCUUCUUUGAAUGUCUGAUAGAAUUUGGCUGUGAUCUGUCUGGGUUUUUUAGUCGGCAUUUUUUUUUUCUUACUUAUACAAUCUCACUGCUUGUUAUUGGUCUGUAAGGAUACCUAUUUCUUCCUGGUUUAAGCUGGUAGGGUUGUAUGUUUCCCGGAAUCUAUCUAUUUUCUUUACUUUUAUUUUUAUGUGCAUAGAGGUUACAUAGUAGUCUCAAAUGAUCUUUUAUAUUUCUGUGAUAUUGGUUAAAAUGUUUCCAUUUUCAUUUCUAAUUGAGCUAAUUUAAACUUCUAUCUUCUUAAUUGUUCUAACUAAUGUUCUAACUAAUUGUUAGAACAAUUGUUAAUCGUUCUAAUUGUUAGAACAAUUGUUAAUCGUUCUAACAAUCUUAAUUCUUCUAACUAAUGAUCUAUUGUAUUUCUAUUUUCAAAUAACCAAAUUUUGUUUCAUUAAACUUUUGUAUUUUUAUUUCAAUUUCAUUUAGUUCUGCUUUAAUCUUUCUUUUCUUCUCCUGGCUUUAAGUUUGAUUUGUUGUUUCUAUAGUUUCUUGAGGUAUGACAUUAUGUUGCGAAUUUGUAAUCUUUCAGACUUUUUUACGUAGGUGUUCAGUGCUAGAAACUUUCCUUUUAGCAUUGCUUUUGCUAUGUCCCAGAGGUUUUGAUAACUUGUGUCACUAUAAUCAUCCAUUUAAAGAAUUUUUUAAUUUCUUUCUUCAUUUCAUUGUUAACCCAGUAAUCAUUAAGAAGCAGAUUGUUCAAUUUCCAGGAUCUUGAGAUGACGUCAUACUGGAUGAUCCUAGUGCACCCUAAAUCCAAUAAGUGUUCUUAUGAAAGACAGAAGAGGAGAAGAUACAGGAAAUAGAAGAAGGCUACUUGAGGAUGGAAGCAGAGCUUGGAGUUAUGCAGCUACAAACCAAAGAAUGCCUUGAGCCACCAGCAGCUGAAAGAGCUAGUCAGCAAUACAACUGGGAUUUGAUAUCAGAUUCAUACGAUUCCGAAGACCCUGACCACCAAAUGCAAAAGGUACAUGGCAACAGCUGAUUGCAAUGAGAGAAAAACAACUAAUAAGGCAACAAGCAGGAUACUAAGAUAUUUUCCAAAAUGAAUAGCACUGAUUCUGUGAGGAAUGAACAUUGCCAAACAAGUGUUUUGUUUUGUUUUUCAACUCCUCUAAAAAAAUUCACAUAUAUGCAUGCCACUUUCCUGAAAAAUAUCUGCCUCAUAAUUGCCAUAAGAAACGGUAUGGACAACUCUUAAACAUUCUGAAAGUAGUCAGGGAUGGGGGAAAGCAUUUGCUGUUUUAGUCUGUUCCUGGUCUUAUAACAAAUACCACAAACUGGGUAAUUUAUGAUUACAGAAAUGUAUUUCUGAAAGUUCAGGAGUUGGGAAGUUCAAGAUUAUGGCACCAACAUAUUCAUUGUCUGAUGAGGGCCUGUUUCAUAGAUGUCAUUUUGCAUGACUUAAUCACAUGGUAGGAAAAGCAAAGGGACAAAAUGGACAAAUGCCAUGUUGUCACAUGGCAGAAGAAAUGGAAGAGCCAGGAAGCUCUCAGAAGCUUCCUUAAUUAGGAUAUUAAUCUCAUUAUGAGUGCACAGCCAUCAUGACUUAAUUGCCUCCAAAGGCCCCACUUCCUCAUCACUUUGAGGAUUAAACUUAAACAUGAAUUUGGAGGAAAUAUAUUCAAACUCUAGGACUAGUUUAAAUGUAGCUAAAAAGGUUUCUUCAUUCUGUAAUCGUUAAUAUGCUAAUAUUUUUGUAAAUAUCCAAGAGGAAGCUAAAGCAUAUAAUAUUCCAAAAUUUAUUUCUGUUUGUGGAUAUUAUGUUUUCCUCUCAUUCUAUCUUAAGAAAUUAGUGUCCUCAAGAAACACUAUAUAGGAUAAUUGUCUUUCAAGUUCAUCAACUACCGGUUCUUGAUUCUUCAGUAGCUAAUCCUAGAUAGUAAUACUUAACAGAUUAUAAAAACUUGGGUGCUGCUAUAUAAAUGCGCUGAAACUCCCAGGGAACCAAACAUAAGGACUUAAAGAGAGAUGUAACUAGGGAUCAUAAUCAUGAAUUUCAGCUGCUUCUCUAUCUUUGUCAGUGAGCAAAUGACCAUACAAAAUAAGGUAUUCAAUUAUUAAUUCUGUGCCCAUAUCCCGGAAUUUUGCCCAAUAUAUUUGUAAGUUUAGAUAAAUAAGGCACUAAUGCCAGGGAUAUGUAGCAUUAGUUCUGGGUUUAUAAAGGGAUAUUCACAACCUCUUGCCAUCCACAGAAUUUAUCAGCCCAAAGUAAACUAUACUCGUUAGUUAAGGGCAACCUGAGACAUGUUUAAAACUGAGGUGGACUGAAGAGUCAACUAAUUGCGGGAAUCUUUUAUUUGGCUGAAAUGUUCAAACAAGUCCCACUCUGAAUUCUAUUAGAAGUCCAUCAUUGGCUUCUCUCUCUUUCUCACUGUCUUAAAUCAUGUAUUUUAUAACACUAUGAAGAAUGAAGUUCAAAAGAAUAAGCUAAAUUUAAUUAAUUAAAUUAUUUAUUUAUUUAUUUUGAGACAGAGUCUCACUCUGUCACCCAGGCCAGAGUUCAGUUGCACGAUCUUGGCUCAGUGCAUCCUUCACCUCCUGGGCUCAAGAGAUCCUCCUGAAGCAGGGUAUUUCCCUGACCCCUUCAUGGGACUCGUGACAGGGGUGCCCCAUUUACUCAGCCCACUGCUCUCAACUCCUCAAGGGAGGGAGUGCGCAAUUGAACAAGGCAGGAACUGGAGUACACGAGUGUUGGAACCAGUGGCCUCUUUGGUGCCAGAAGGAGUGAACUCACCCACUCUGACCUGCUGUGUUCCACCUCUUGCAGGAGAGAGCAUGCAGGUGAGCAGGUACAGGAGCCAGGAAGAGAGCUUUGGGGUGUUGGCAGGAGCAAACUCCAUGUGGGCCCCAUAGCAGCCCCUGGGGUUAGGGGGGUGCCUGUGAUUCCUGAAGCCCCUGUGGGCAUAUUACAGUGCUCCUUUAGCUCUGCCGUCUUCAGACAGCUGAAGUGUUAGCAGCUCAGCAUGCCUUUUUGUAUCCACACUCACUCCUGAGCUCUUGUUUGGCAUCCAGGAAAAAAUCAGCUCACAGAAACGAAUUGAAGGAUGGUAAAUGCAGAGGAUUUUAUUGCCAAGGAAAGUGGCUCUCAGCAGGAAGGGCAGCUGGGAAGGAGAUGUAGCAGGAAGGUUUCUGGCUGGACUCUUCUCCAAAGUUGCACUGUCAAGCUGUCUCUCUGAAAUCAAGCUGCUUCUCUCCAACGUCCAACCGUAGUCUCUGAUGCCCAGCUGCUGCUUCUCUUUUGAUGUUCAGCUGCUUCUCUUUUUUGCUAGCUGAGUCUGGGGUUUUUAUGGGCACAGGAUGGGGGACAGGGGAGGUCAUGGGUAAUUUUGUAAAAGGCAACAUUUGAGUGGGAAAACAGGAAUGUAUGUUCUCACUUUGGGCUUUGGUUCCAGGCUUGAGGGUGGAGCCGUUGCCAGGGACCUGCCCUCUUUUGCCCAGAAUUUCCCUGCCUCCCUUCCCUAUCACUCCCACCCCAUCACUCCCACCUCAACAUCCUGAGUAGCUGGGAUUAUAGGCGCACACCACCGCAUCUGAUUAAUAUUUAAAUUUUUUGUAGAGACAGGGUUUUGUCAUGUUGCCCAGGCCGGUCUCAAACCCUGGGCUCAAGUGAUUUGCCCACCUCAGCCUCCCAAAGUUCUGGGAUUACAGGUGUGAGCCAGUGUGCCUGGCCCUAAAUAAUAUUUAUAUGGGCAUUUUGUAAUUAUUAUUUUUUAAUAAUAUAAAUGUUUCCUUUUUAAUAUGAAUUUUUCAAGAGUUUUAUAAUUGACUGAUUAUUCAUUAAAAUUUAAUGAAGGACAGGAAUUGGCUAUUUUUCUGAAUGACAAAAAUUAGGAAAUUUUUAGAGAGAUGAUGAAUUUAUCCUAGAAUGUAUGGAAAGAGUAAAUCUUGUUAUAUAGAACAAGCAACUUUCCAAUCCGAAGGAUCUUAGAAUAAUAAAAAUUUUUUUUCUUAUAAUUGUUUUCUUAUAAUUGUUUCAAAGUAAUACUUUAGACCAAAAAUUGUAUAUCUCAGUAGGUGGCCUAUAUGAUAAUUAAAAAAUUAAAAGCUAAGUUAAUUAAAUUUUUAAUUAAUUUAAUUUUUAUUAAUUUUAAUUAUCAAUCUUCAUUGAAGAAUUUUGUCCAAAAAAUGUGGACAAUAUGUGUCAUAAGGAUUAAUCACCAUAAAAUAGUCCCCAAAGGAAAUUAAAGGACUGAUUAGAUAGUACUAAAAUAACAAUCAUACAAAGUAGAAAGUGGUGUUAUAAGAGAAAUGUAGAUAAAAUAUUGUAAGAAACUAAAGUAGGAAGAUAAUGUUUUGAGUUGUGGGAGAUCAGGGAAGGUUUUUUGGAAAAAGUAACGUUUAAGCUAGAUCUUAGAGAGACAUGACUUAAUAGAAAAGUAGGCAAAAAAAUAUGAAUAACCCUUUCAGAUUACAGGCAAUACAAAUUAUGAUAAAUAUAAAAAAAUUCUCACUUCACUAAUAAUCAAGUAAUUGAAUUAAACAAUUGGAUACCAUUUUUUCUUCAGCAGACUGGCAAAACAUAAGAUGUUAACAAGGGUUUUGAGGGUACAGGGAAGAGGGUAGGCUCAAACUAUGCUGGUAUCAAUGUAACCAAGAUCUCCUUUGGAGUACAAUUGUUAUAUAGUCUACAUUCUGUAAAAACUAAACACAUAUGUUUGCCUUUCCACUUUUGGAAAUACAUGGUAGAUAAUCAUGCAAGAAUGUCAAUUGCAGUAUUGUGUUGUAAUUUUUAAAAAUACUCUAGAUAUUCAUCAAUAUAUAACUACAAAUAAAAAUAGUUGGACUAUCAUGCAGACUACAAUGCCUCUAUUGUGGCAUAAUAGUUAAUAAUACAAUCUCUGAGAGCAGAAUAUCUGGAUUUGAAUAAUUUGCUCUCCCUCCAAAUGACCUUGAGCAAAGUACUUACAAUCUUUUUCUCUCUUCCAUAAAAUGGAGAUAACAGCAUUGCCAAUUUAUUAGCAUGUCAUGAUGAUUAAAUGAGAUAAUCCAUAUAUCACACCAAGUACCCACUACGUAAUAAGCAACUAAUUAAAUUUGACUAAUAUUAAUAAUUUCAUUAUUAUUCAUCUUAAUAUCAUGGCAUGACUUCUAAGGUAUAUUAUUAAAUAGAAAAAGAGAAGUUUUAAACUGAGCCAUAGUUUAGAACUUGACUUAAAGCAGACUCACAAAGCAAAUGCUCAUAUCUAGGACAGGUAAAUCUACACGUGUUUAUACACACAUUCACUGUAUUUGGGGAAAAUACACACCAAACUGGAAACACUGGUUGUCUCUGAAGAAGAGACAGGGCUUUGGCAAUAUUCAAAUUAGGCUUUAACUGUUUCUGAAAGUUUCAGUUCUCUAUAAGGAGAAGGUGUUACUUAUGUAAUUUUUAAAAAUUACAUAUUAAGUACUAAAUGACUGAAGCUUCUUAGAAUUGAUGGGGGCAGGCAUCACAUGGGCAGCAAGGCAUUCACAUAAUGGAGAAUCAUGGUCUCCUGUAGAUGUCUAGGAGUGAUAAAAUUAACUACCUUUUAGGUGGUGUAGUUUCCUGGUUGAGCUGAUAAUUAUUAAGUUAAUGAUUAGUAGGUUAUUUCUCAACACCGAAGAGAUUAUUAGUGUUUCAAAGUUUUCACUGUAAUUCAUCUGUAAAACCAUUCAACCUACUUCCAGUACACCUCAGUAAUCUGGUGACAAGAGAGUAUUCUUGCUCACUUUAUUUACUCUUCAGUGAUCUAAUGCCAAUAAUGCCAGCCUAUAGAAACAACAGCCAAUUAUAACAAAAAGCACAUUAAAAAGUCAAAUAUAGCUGGGUAAUAGACAUAAAAAUACCUUAUUAACAUUUUUAUAACACUCUGAACUGAAAUAAACAGACCACUCUCGAUUUUAGCAUCUGGUUCCAAACAAUUCUUGUUUGGGUGAUAACUUUUUAAAAACAAAUGUUGGGCAUCUUUCAUCGACUUUUCAUCAAGUAACAGCUGUUCCUUUAGAGCAAAAUGUAUGCAUGUUGGAAGUGUGACUGAUGCUCACUUCUGUUUUGUUCUGUGUGAGAAAGCUUUAUGUUGGGUGCAAUUCAGAAAACAAAUGGUUUCAAAUCUUUUGAAUAGAUGCCAUAGCACAGUUUAAAUGCAGCUUCUUGUGAUUUUUAGAAUAAUUUCAGCCACAAUUUUUACAUUCAAUUUAUAACUAUACUAAGACAUUCUCCUUCAGAACAAAGGCAUUUCUGUUUUCAUGUGCUCUUGGGCAUCUUCGGGUCAUUCAUUAUAUCAAUCAUUUAUCUUCGUAAAGUGUUUGGCUAUGAACAAUUACUUACUACACCAAAGCAUGAAAGAAAUAGAUACAGCUCAUCUGCUCUUGAAUGCAUUUCUACAGAUUCCCUUAGGAUAAUUCCUGUUUCAACUUAAGCUAUUAAAUUUUUUGCUGCAUUCAAAUCACCUCAUCUGCUGAAACAUGUGGAGACAAAUAACCACAGACGUUUGCAUGAAGGUUCAGGUGUAUUUAAGGGCAGCUUAAUUAUAAGACACUAUGAAAUUCUCCUAAUUAAUUUGGAGCUAAAUAUUCUACAUCAAAUAUUUUACAAAACUUAAAGAAAUAUUUACUUUUCACAUGAUUACGAUUUUGAUACUAGGUUAAAAAUGACUUAUACUGGCAUUUUUUAAACAGUUUAAGACAAAUAAUGUUUUUGAUACUGUUUAUUAUAACAUAUGAAAAGUCUUUAUGCAGAUAUACUCUAUUUUAUCGUCUGUUCAUUUCAUGUUGCAUUUGCAUGCACUCCUGAAUUACUUGUUACUAAAACAUACAGAACAAACAGAAAGUUAAAAUUGGUUAAUUUCUAUCUAAUCUGGAUAAGAUAAACACAAUGAGUGAAAUAAAUCAUUAUGUCAAAUAACAAAAACCUCAUGCAUAGAAACUUCAACAUUUCUGAAUAACAAAAAGUAUAACAUUAUGUAGGGCAAUGUUCCACUUUUGUAUCAACUAGAAAUAAGCCCUGAAUCUGAAUGAUGAAAUUUUAAUAGUAACUGUUGACCACAGGGCAGAGUUUACUCUCUUGGUCAGAUGCUUUUGUGAAUGACACAAACUGUGUGUCCAGAUCACUUUUCCCUAUAAUCACUUCAAAUUACUUGACUUUUUGAUCUCUUCCUUUUUUCUGUCUCUUUUUUGUCCACAACAGAUAUUCCAAAUAUCCACCGAGUUUUCAAAUACUCCAGUCCAUAUUUGGUCUUCCCAUUCCUAGCAGAAGUACUUUGUCUUCUACUUCCCAGAAUAAUGUUAAUUCUCUUAUUUUAGACUUGCUUGCUUUAAUUUGUAUUUAUUCUUGGCUUUUUUUCUUUCCAUCUCACAGGAUAAGAGGGCAUCUCUUCUUCCAUAUUCAUAAAUACGUUGCCAACAGGAAUUUGUUGUUAUUUACACUUUCUUCUCCUAGACAUUUUAAUUUUACUUACCUUCCCUGAGCACAUGGCAAAGUCAAAACACAAGCAGAAUCUUACUUAUGAAUAGAGGCAGAUUUAUUAAGCCAGGGGUAGGCAAACUAUAGCCAAUGAGCCAAAGCCAGGCUGCCACGGGUUUUUAUAAAUAAAAUUUUAUAGGAACUCAGCCACAGACAUUCCUUUACAUAUUGCCUACAGCUGCUUAAGCACUACAAAGGCAAAGUUGCAUAUUUACAACACAAAUAAUAUGGCCUGCAAGCCUAAAGUAUCUACUAUCGUGCCCUUUAUAGAAAAUGUUUAUCAGCUUUUGUUCUCUUAUCCUAAGUUAUGAGGCUUACAUUUCCGGCCACCUCAUUUGCAUUUGAGUUUCCAGUUUUGAGUUUGUAGUUUUGUAUUCUUGCUUAAAGAGCCCCAAACCCUGACCGCCAAAUUGAAUGUGCUGUAGAUCCCACAAAAUAUGGAUCCAAUCAAGCUGAUGCCAUGUCAUUAUCUGUAGCUUUUAUUCUUUGCCAUCACACACCUUCCUUGAACAGUUAGGCUUCUGCAAAAAAUCUUAAAUAAUCACUGAUAUGGGUUGGUUCUGUGUCUUCACCCAAAUCUCAUCUUGUAGCUCCCAUAAUUUCCACGUGUUAUGGGAAGGAUCCAGUGGGAGAUGUCUGAAUCAUGAGGGCACGUAUGUCCCAUGCUGUUCCCAUGAUAGUGAAUGGAUCUCACGAGAUCUGAUGGUGUUAAAAAUGGGAGUUUCUCCACACAAUCUCUUUUUUGCCUGCUGCCAUCCAUGUAAGAUGUAGCUUACUCCUUGCCUUCCACCAUGAUUAUGAUGCCUCUCCAGCCAUGUGGAACUGUAAGUCCAACAAACCACUUUCUUUCGUAAAUUGCCCAGUUGCAGGUAUGUUUUUAUCAGCAGCAUGAAAAUGAACUAAUACAGUAAAUUGUUACCAGUAGAGUGGGGUGCUGGUGGAAACAUAUCCAAAAAUAUGGAAGCGACAUUGGAACUGGGUAACAAGCAGAGGUUGGAACAGUUUGGAGGACUCAGAAGAAGACAGGAAAAUGUGGCCAAGUUUGGAACUUCCUAGAGACUUGCUGAAUGGCUUUGAACAAAAUGCUGACAGUGAUAUGGACAAUGAAAUCCAGGCUGAAGUGGUCUCAGCUGGUGAUAAGGAACUUGUUGGGAACCGGAGUAAAGGUGAAUCUUGCUACAUUUUAGCAAAGACACUGGUGGCAUUUUGCCCGGCCCUAUAGAUUUGUAGAACUUUGAACUUGAGAGAGAUGAUUUAGGGUAUCUGGCAGAAGAAAUUUCUAAGCAGGAAAGCACUUAAAAUGUGAAUUCGGUGCUGUUGAGGGCAUUCAGUUUUAUAAGGGAAGCAGAGCAUAAAAAUUUGGAAAAUUUGCAGCCUGACAAUGCAAUAGAAAAGAAAAUCCCAUUUUCUGAGGAGAAAUCCAAGCCAACUAUGGACAUUUGCAUAAGAUAAUGGGGAAAAUGUCUCCAGGGCAUGUCAAAGGUGGAGACCUUAGCCUCUCCCAUCACAGGCACAGAGACCUAGGAGGAAGAAGUGGUUUUGUGGGCUGGGCCCAGGGUUCCUUUGCUGUGUGCAGCCUAGGGACUUCAUCCCCUGCAUCACAGCAACUCUAGCUAUGGCUGAAAGGGGACAACAUAGAGCUCAGGCUAUGGCUUCAGAGGGUGCAAGCCCCAAGCUUUGGCAUCUCCCAUGUGGUGUUGAGCCUACGAGUGCACAGAAGUCAAGAAUUGAGGUUUGGGAACCUCUGCCUAGAUUUCAGAAGAUGUAUGGAAACGCCUGAAUGCCGAGGCAGGAGUUUGCCACAUGGGUGGGGUCCUCAUGGAGAACCUCUGCUAGGGCAGUGCAGAAGGAAAAUGUGGGGAGGGAGCCCCCACACAGAAUCCCUACUGGGGCACCACCUAGUGGAGCUGUGAGAAGAGGGCCACCGUCUUCCAGACCCCAGAAGUGUAGAUCCACUGACAGCUUGCACUGUGUGCAUGGAAAAGCUGCAGACACUUAACACCAGCCCAUGAAGGCAGCCAGGAGGGAGACUGUACCCGGCAGAGCCAGAGGGGUGGAACUGCCCAAGACCAUGGGUAUCCACCUCUUGCCUCAGCGUGACCUAGAUGUGAGACAUGGAGUCAAAGGAGCUUUAGAUUUGACUGCCCUUCUGGAUUUCAGAAUUGCAUGGGGCUUGUAGCCUCUUUGUUUUGGCCAAUUUCUCCCAUUUGCAAUGGCUGCGUUUACCCAAUCCCUGUACCCCUGUAACCCCAUUGUAUCUAGGAAAUAACUAACUUGAUUUUGAUUUUACAGGGUCAUAGGUGGAAGGGACUUGCCUUGUCUCAGAUGAAACUUUGGACUGUGGACUUUUGAGUUAAUGCUAAAAAGAGUUGACAUUUUGGGGGACUGUUGGGAAGGCAUGACUGGUUUUGAAACAUGCAGAUAUGAGAUUUGGGAGGGGCUGGAGUGAAAUGACAUGGUUUGGCUCUGUGUCCCCAUCCAAAUCUCAUCUUCUAGCUCCCAUAAUUUCUGUAUGUAGUGGGAGGGACCUGAUGGGAGAAGACUGAAUCAUGGGGGCAGGUCUUUCCCAUGCUGUUCUCAUAAUAGUGAAUGGGUCUCACAAGAUCUAGUGGUGUUAAAAACAGGAUUUUCUCUGCACAAGCUCUUUUUUUGCCUGCUGCCACCCACAUAAGAUGUGUCUUGCUCCUUUUUGCCAUGAUUGUGAGUCCUCCCCAGCCAUGUGGAACUGUAUGUCCAAUAAACCAUUUUCUUUUGUAAGUUGUCCAGUCAUGGGUAUGUCUUUAUCAGCAGUGUUAAAAUGGACUAAUACAAUCACUCUAUCAAAUGAGAUAAUAUUUAUUCCUUUACCACUGACAACUCUCUCUCGGCUCUUCUAUUCAAUCAUGUUACUGAUAGACGCUUUGCUUUUUGUUUUUGUUGUUUAACCUGAUUGUUAUAGCUUAUUUUAUGAAUUUCUGUUCUUCUUUUAAUUUUACAACAAUUUUACUAUUUCUCCUUACAUGUUUAUAAGUCAUAUGGAGACUCCUUCUCAUCUACCCUGACCCCAGAAUAUUAAAACUUUUCAGAGUUUCAGGAUUAAUUCCAUUAUAUGGACAUGAUUCCUUGAGAUAGGAAAAACUGAUUGGAUUGUGACAUUAGACUUAUCAGAAUCUAAGAUCUUACAAAAUAUAAAGCUUUACUAGUAAUUUCACGAACUCAGGUAAUCAUUAGGCAUGGGCAAAUCAGAGAAUUAUUUAGAUCUCUUAAUCUGAUUCUUUAGAUCCUUGGUUCUGUCAUUAGAUACUCCCUUGCCCAGGCAGAUAGAUGAGACUUCUAGAGAGGUAUGCCGACAAUUUAUUUACAUGGAGAUACCUGGCUCAAUUAUCAAAUAUCUUAAUUUUUAUGCAGAUAGUUACAUAUGUGGUAUAUGUGACAUUUUCCAGGGAGCCCCAUAAAUCCACAACCUUCUACUUUGUUAACCAUAAGCAAUUCUAAACGACCAAGUACAUUCUGCUAAAAGCAUUUCUGUGAUAGAUAAUCACUCUCCUGCCAGCAAAAAAACAAAUUGUUUGUCAGGAGCUGUCAUUAGUAUGUUUAUAUAAGCAAAAUGGGCUUCCUUCCUUCUGUGGAUCCUGGCAGGGCAUCUCAGUAAUCAGAAAGAAUCAAAGACCCUUUCCUUCCCAAUCUGCUCUGGCCUUGGUCAACAUCUUAGUGCCAAAUAUUGCUGGUGUAUUAUCAUUAUUGGCUUACACCAUUUUCUGCAGUGUUUCACUUAAGCCAACUAAUACUCUGACCUUGAUUUGAACCAUCCAACAGAGAGUAGGAAUUCCCUCCACAAAGCAUGUUACUCAUUAACAUCUUCCUUUACAAGUCUCUUGAUGUUCAUUCACAAACUCAAUUACCUUUUACCUCCAUCAACCUCAAUUAUUUGCAUCAUUUUCCAUGGGCCUAUGGGAGUAUUUAAUUGAAUACAUAUUUUUUCUUCUCAAAUCAAAUUUUCUGAAAAAAAUUUGUUUCUAUGAACUGUAUUUUAGGUAUAUUCCAGGUUGGUACAAACACUAAUUUUCAGGGGUCAUUAUGUCAAAGAGCCCAUCCACACCCCAUGGCCUACAUAUGUCAAAGGAUUGUUCUUUAUUCAUCCACUUUCUAUGAAUUCCACACACGGGAGAUAAACUUCUUUUUCAUCCAUAUUACCAGGGUUGUCAGGGAGCAACACUGAAGGUCACAGUGUUCAGUGAAACCUUGCCGUAACUUAGACUAAACACGUUUUUCCCAUAAUUUUACUUCUUCAAAUUCUUUCUUUCUUUUUCUUUCUUUCUCUUUCUUUCUUUUCCUUUCUUUCUUUCUUUCUUUCUUUCUUUCUUUCUUUCUUUCUUUCUUUCUUUCUUUUUCUUUCUUUCUUUCUCUUUCUUUCUCUCUUUCUCCUUUUCUUUCUCUCUCUCUCUCUCUCUUUUUCUUUCUUUUUCUUUCUUUUUUUUUUUUUUUGACAGGGUUUCACUCUUGUCACCUGGCUGGAGUGCAGUGGCACAAUCUCGGCUCAUUGCAACCUUCACCUCACAGGUUCAAGCAAUUCUCCUGCCUUAGCCUCCCGAGUAGCUGGGAUUACAAGCACCUGCCACCAUGCCUGGCUAAUUUUGUAUUUUUAGUAGAGACGGGGUUUCGCCAUAUUGACCAGGCUUGUCUUGAACUCCUGACCUCAGGUGAUCCACACUCCUCAGCCUACCUAAGUGCUGGGAUUUUACAAGUGUGAGCCACUGCGCCCGACGUUGAGCUUGUUUCUUUAUGAAUUCCUGCAACUCAACAUUAAAGACAUAAUAUCCCAUAGUGAUUAAUAUAUCCAAUAGUCCUUCCUGACUAAAGGUACAAAGUUAAUCCUAGUGUUGUUAAUAAGCAUGGAAGUCAUUAUUUAUUCAGUGUCUUCAGUUCAAGCAUUGUCUUAAACCAAACUGAUUUCCUACUACAACUGAGUCCUCUAAAAACAGCUUCCUCUAGUGUCCCUAUUUGAAGUAGCAAGUCAUUUUUAUCAUAAUGAUGGGCCUCCUAGAACACUACUUCGAUUAGAUUUAAUAUCACAUGACCAAAUCCUGUAAUUCUUUCAAAAUGCCUGGCAAAGGGUCCAGUGCUGCUUAACUUGCCACUCAUGUAGUUCAUAUUAUGUGCUAAUUAAAUGUGUCUAGUUUGAAAGCAUUGUCUACACCUACAAAUAAUGUGCUUCAUGAAAUUCUCAAUUAGGUAUAUCCUAGCACCAGAUACCGUUUUAUCUGGCUGUGCCAUAGGCUUCCCUUAAAUGUCCUCUACGUACCUCUUGAGGGAGUUAUUUAUAAUUUUAAAGCAUUAAAGCAAACAUAAAAUCACAUUCUCUGAGGCUUUCUAGGUUCUAGUUUUAUAUUAUUUAAAUUAAUUCCAUUUACAUUCACACUGAUAUGUUCAAAGCAACAGACCAGAUCAAGCUGUGACAUACCAGACAGGCAGCCACUAUCUGCUUUCUAUCAUAACCAGGGAGCUGUCUUAGCAAUGUAUCAUUUUGAUUUAUGGCCAUAUAGGGUGCAGAAAUUCUAUUCUACAGCAUCCUCUGCUCUGUACAAUUCAUUGGUAGUUUCUCUGGAAAAAAAUAAUCUAGAAUGGUAAACAAAGCCUAGAAACUGAGUGAUAACUGUAGUCAACUACACACAAGCUGAGUUGUCAGGGGGCACUUUGUCAUCUGUUUUAUUCAAAUUAUACAGGUAGAACAUCCAAAUCAGUAGGAGUCCAAUUUUCCUUUUCUGCAGUAAGCAGGCCAAGAGAUUUUCACCAACAAAGCCCAUUUGUUUGGAUGACAAUAGCAAAAGAUAGUUAAGUAUGAUAUCCUCACUCUGAGCUGUUUGCAUGAAAAUAUUGUAGUGGCUUCCCUCCACGGUAAUGUAAUCUACUUAUAAACACCUUUCCCAUCUGCUAUGAUUUUACCCUAUUUCCAAAUGCUUCCUCCCAAUAUCAGGCUGUAUAACUCAUCAUGCAUAAUGUUUGCCCGCACAAUCAAUAACAAGAACCUUACUAGCACACCCAAACAAAUGUUUGGGUUUUAUUUGUUUGUUUGUUUAACUUUUAUUUUAAGUUCAUGGGUACAUGUGCAGAUUUGUUACACAGGUAAACUUGUGUCAUGGGGUUUGUUGUCAAACAAAUGUUAUAAGUGACAGACAAAGGACCUCAGAAGUCUCUCCUCUGCUUGAUAAUGGAGCUACCUUCACCUUUAGCCCUAAUUGGUUACAUAGGAAGGAACUUUUGAUCCACCACAAAUUACCUUUCAGAAAAGGCACAGUCAAAUUAAAUGACACAAAUAUCAUGUCUUGGGUAUUGUAUAAUCUUCCUCUGGUGCAAGUAAAUUUAAAACUGGGUUUGAGACCGCCAUUAGAGGCCAAAUAAAAGUAUUAGAGGUGGGAAAGAUAUAAAGUUAUAUAUUAUUGCAUUCUCCUUCACUCCCUCAUUACUACCUCUUGAUAUUAGUAAGGCACAGUGGAUUUUGUUAUUUAUUUCUCAUAUUAGUCUCAGGACGCAAUGGUUUCACUAAAUGAACCCUUAAUAAUUUUUGAGCAAGGGGCCUUGCUUUUCAUUUUUCACUGGGUUACAGAAGUUAUGUAGCUGGUCCUUCCUGUUGACAUUGGCUGUGUCAUUCAGUGCAACAGCAUGUGUCUUUCAAAUGGAUUAUAGCAAACAGCUGCCACAGGCAUAUUUUGAGUCAAAAUCCUAAGGAGUCUAAAUUGGUGGUCUCAUUUAACUUUUCCUAAAGGGCUCUAGUUUGGGUAUGCCCUAAUAUCAUCUGACCAGUUGGAUGGGAUCAUAAGGGCCUAAUGUUAUUGCCUGUGCUACCACCUACCACAAUACUUUUCAUGCUUAUUUCUGUUCAGUACCUGCAGUGAGUUAAGUAGUGCUCUUCUGAAAUUAUUAUUCAUUCAGAAUCUCAGAAGGUGACCUUCUUUAGAAAUUUGCACAUAUAAUUAGUUAAGAUGAGCUCCUACUAGAUUAAGGAGGGUCCUAAUUCCAAUGACUGGAGGUGUUUUUAUAAGAAGAGAGGACACAUGGAGAAGAGAUUGAAAAUGAAAGCAGAAAUUGGAGUAAUAAAUCUAUAAGUAAUAAAGCUCCAAAAAUUUGUAGGAGAGAGUAGAACCUAGGCAGGGGCAAGAAAAGAUUUUUUUCUGUGGCUUUUCAAGGAAGCGUGACCCUAUUGACUCCUUGGCUUCAGACUUCUAGCCUCCAGAACUGUGAAAUAAUAAAUUUCAGUUGUUUUAAGCUACCCAGUCUGUGGUAAUUUGUUCCAGCAGCCCUAGGAAAGUACUACAAUGCUGUAUUCACGUUCUGAACUCUUUCCAGUUAUUUUGUGAGUAUGGGUAGACAAGAUUCUUAGAACAGUCUUGACAGUCUCUGAGUUUAUUGCUUAUUGGUGGGUCCUAUGAAAGAUAAAUUACUUCUCACAGUUUAAGGAAUGUCCUAAGUUGAUCUGCACUAAUUUAUAGGAUUUAGUUGGAGUUUAAGGAAUGUCCUAAGUUGAUCUGUACUAAUUUCCAGGAAUUAAUUUGCACCUUGGGCUGUGCCUUAAAUUCUAGCUGGAUUUAUCAGCCAGCUUCUAUUUGUAAUAUGGGUGACUAUGGUCCUUAACUCCUCUCCUAAUUUUUGCUCUGAGAAGAAAAUUAUCAUCAUACCAUGAAAGUAGUAGAUGAACUCUAUCUUUUAGGUUAUUCUUUACCAGAUUAUGGAAAUGUGAUAAUGAAUUUUUUUUAAAUCCAUGAUAAGACAGUAAACAUAUACUUGUUUCUAUUCUGCAAAGCUUAAAAUCUUCCUACUUGAAAUUAACAAAAAAAAAACUCUUAGGAGGCCCCUGAGAUUGGUUUAAUGCUCUGUUGUAGCUAUCUGGAAAUUCUUAAUAAUUUUUGAGUAAGUAUCCAUGCAUUUUCAUUUUAUACUCAGCUCUAUGAAUUAUGUAGUUAAUCUUGAUAACAUAUCAGAGCCUCUUGUCUACUUUAUUUUCUGUACAUUCUUCAUCAUAUCAGGUACAGAUGAAGCAUGCAAAUGAACCACCUUGAUACUCUACUGUAAAUGUCCAGGGGCUACCUACUUAUUGACCAGUUAGAACUACAAAAAGGAAGUUAAUGUGGGGAGGGGAACUUCCUUCUGAACCAUUUUCUUAAUUACAACAGUAGUCUCUUAUUGCGCCCUUGGAAUUCUGCAUUGCUUAAUAUUUACUACUGUGGAGAGCUUGAGCAAUUCCAAAGGAUCCCAUUUGGCAUAGCUGAUUAAAAUUUGGUGAAGAGUGAGCUCAGUCUUCAUCCUCUGUGGAAACACAAAGACGACAAUGUCCCAUUCAUAUUGAAUGACAAUUGCAAUUUUGUAUUUAUGUAAAGGUAGCACAAGCAGGUAAUAUUCUCUCCAACCACACAUUUCAACCUGUAACUUCAUCUUUACCUUGGUUUCCUCCCUGAUGUUCUCUUCAUGCACUCCAGAUUUCACUUAGAGCAUGUAUGAGACUCUUUCCUACCUUCCAUAAGGCCUACUGUAAAUUCUGCUCUACAUCCUACCAAUGAUAAGAAACUUUGAAUACCACCCCAGGUAACUUUGUUCAAAUUAUAUAUAUGGCCUCAGAUCCAGACCUCAGUUCUUUAUUUAAUUGUUUUCAGAUUCUACGGCUUUAAUUAAGGCAGUAAACCCAGCCCCCUGUUCAAGUAUGUUCUGUUCUAUAUCACUAUCCUCAUAAUUGGAUUUGAACUCUUUCAGCCACAAUAAAUAAAGCAAAUUUUCUAUGAUUCUUUAAGGGAUUGGUGGGGGCUACAGUACUCCUCUCCUCUGAUUCAAAAGUUGAUAAUGUGCUUUUAUUUUCUUAUUAAAAAUUCUAUCAAGGCUUACUUUUUAAAUCCUAUUUAUAUUUUCUUCAAAAGUAAAUUAAUUCAAGUGAGCUGCCUUUCUAUUUUCUCUUCUGAUUUUUAAUUUCUCCCUGUUGUGCACAUGAUAUAAAUGCUUUUUCUCCAUAUAAUCCCAUGUAUAGUAACUAAACCUGUAUGUUUGUUACUGUUCUCUGAAUAUAUAUAUUUGGCCCUCAAGGUUAUAUAAGUCUUGUAAGACAGAGAAUCAUUAGCUUAUCCCAUUCACUCUAUCUCUUAUUAUUUGUAUCAAUAGCAUUAACUAAGGUGUUUUCUCUCUGGAAAAUAUAAAGCCUGUCAACAUUUACACUUGUAUCAUUCCUAUCAUGUGAAAAGGAGAAUCCAAUUGGCAAUUUGGAGAGGAGUAGUAGCAGUUACCCUUCUCAGUAUAGGACUGACAAAUCUCACCUUAACAACUGCAGCCGAUAUGCUGUCACAGUAUUUGGAAGUGUUUUCUCAAAAGUUUACAGCCAUUUAAUGAUUAGCCAUGACCAUGAAUAGUCCUUUGCAUCAGAUAAUAAUAGAAUUGCAACAUGUCCUCCAUCAUUAAUUUGAAGAAUCCAUGCCAAUGUUAAUUCACCAGUCUUCUGUUAGUGAAUACUCUGUUCUUUAAUAAAAUAUAGUUUUCACUCAUCACCUGUCCUUGGACUCCGGUUACAUAAAUAGUUUGUCCAAUAAUCAAUAUUUUGAGUCAUUUCUAAGGAUACAUGAAAUUUCUCCAAGAAACCAGGGAGGGAUAAGAAGGUUUUCCAGUGAAUAAAAUGUAAUCUCGCAGCUUUUUCUCCCACUAUCAUCUCCUCCUAUUAAAAACUAACCUAUUAAAAGGUUAGCUUUUACAAGUAUGCUAGCAGGAGUCAGUCAAUGGGAUUUGUACCCAAUUUCCCUUUGUCCAUGUACUCCCUAGACCCGUACUCCCAGACUGUAGUCUAUGGCCCCCAGAUUUCAAUGGUAAGACUUAUUUCCCUUAACCUGCCUCAAAGAUUCCACUACCUCAUACCAAAAAUGUACAGCCAACUAUCCUGAGAACAAAUUCUCAUAUUUUUCCAUUAUUUCCUUUUGAAAAGGAGCCCAGGUAGAAAAAGAAAACAUUCACUAUUUUGGUGUGUGGGUCUAAAAGACAAUCCUGCUCUCAGUGCCAAUCUGAACCCACAAAAAGCAUUGAAUUGUCAAAUCGGACUCAGAUUGAAGAUUUUGCUCAGUAUCAUGCUUUCUGAAUAAUUUCAAAGAUAAAAUAAUCAUGUAUGGGUUAAGUGGGGAGAGACCUGUGUCCUUUCAUCUUCAUUGAAUGUGGUCUCAUCCAAGUUUCUAGAUUUGGUUUCUAAGUAAAAUGUACAGUUGCUUUACUUACUCAGGUGUAUUCUCAGUUACAAACCAUCUCCUUUUAUACUUAGAUAGCAACACAGCUAACGUGACAUUUUCUUGGGAAUCAUCACCCUACAUUUAUUGAUUCCUGGCUUAUUUUUCUUAAGCAAUUUUAGACAACUCCUCAUGGUCUGCUAGAAACAUUUUAUGAGGAAUGAUUCUUUGGCUACCAAAAACUAUUUAGUUUAUUUUCUAAGAGACUUGCAUUAAUAUGUUUGCAGAAAAAUUAAACCAGAACACCUGACUUCUUUAUUUCCCAGGAGUUUUCCUCCACACCUGCCCCCAUCAGGGGAGAAAAUUGAUCAGGAGGUACCACCCCUUUCCACACCAUUCUUGAAUCUAUUCUACAGAACUCUCUCACAUGGUCUAGCAAUAUGUUUAAGGUAGAACCCUUUUUCUAUCAAUAUUUCUUAUGUGUUAAAUUUGCAUUAUUAUAUGUUGACUAGAAAUUAUAUAUUCCUUCUUAAACAUUAAUCAUAAUGAAUCUAAAAACCUAAUUUAUUUCAACCAAUAAAUUUCUCUUUAAUUCCUGUCCUCAACAUUCUUGUCCUCAAUAUUCCUAUUGUUACUGUUACAGUUAUGAAAUCAUCUUAAUGAAAUCACAGCUAGACCAGUGCAUUAAUUUAAAACAAUAGCAUCCUUUUUCUAUAAUUUAACUUCUUCCAACUUUUCUUCGCUGUUGUAUAAUGAUAAUUACUCUAAAAUGACAAUCUGAUCAUUAAAACUUUAAUCAUUUACUCUCUGCCAAUUUCAUAAAUAAAUAUUUGAUUCACAGUUGUUAUUUCUUCUUCAAGAUACAUCAAAUAAUCCACCUUUAUGAAAAGCAAUUUACUGUUUCAUAAAUGUGCUUUAUUAUGUCACAUAUUCAGUCUUUUAAACAUUUUGUGCCAUCCUUGGUCAUCAAAUAAAUUUCUAUCUACUAAAUAUGACUGACUUAGCAAAACGAUAGCCUUAGUUUCAUGCAUGUCUCCAUCAAUUUUGGAAUUGCUUUUAUGCCCAAACUGCAGUGGGAGAAAAACACACAACAAAAUUGUGUUGAUUGUUAUCUCUUUAAAACCACAACCUUGAAAAGCAAAUGUGCCUUUAAGGCGGCCAAACAAGCCCAUUUUUCUUUUGUUAGCCAUUGCCUUCUUCCUCUUAUGUAAGAUUAACUUAUGGAUUCUUUCCUCAUUUCACACCCCUCACAUACUUUUCUUCAAUCUCAAUGCCAGCUGAUGACCUUGUUUCCUGUGUCAAAAAAUAAAUACAUAGAUAGAUAAAUAACAAUGAAGAGGAAAUGUAUGCAGACUCCCACUACUACAUAUACUUAACGCCAGUAUCUAAAAUUACACACUACUCAUCCUGCAUAUUAAUAGAGCAGGGUCUUUUCUCUGGUACUAUGGACAAACUGAGCCAGAUAAUUCUAUGUUUGGGAUGGGGUGUUGGAAAGGUUGCCUUGUAUGUUGCAGGAUGUUUAGCAACAUCCCUGGCCUCUCCAAUUCGAUGCUAGUAGUAACUCCAUUCACAAGUUGUGACAACAGAAAACAUCUCCAAACAUUGCCAAUUGGCUCCUUGCAGAGUGAAAUCUCUCCUUAAAGAAAACCACUGCCAGAAAUGAAAUGUUUAUACACCUACCUCAAGCUUACACCUUUACUUGUUCAUCAACUCUUUCUGACUACACAGGCUAUAGACAGAUACUUUUCAAUACUUACCCCUCUUAUACAUAAUCAAAUUUUCCUCAUUAUUGGGUCAUUUCAUGAUCAUACAAAUAAGCUAUUACUUCUGUCAUACUAGAAAAUAAAAGCAAAUAAGCAACCAGUAUUCUUCAUUUUCCCCAUUUUCAUUGUCAGAUACCACCAGGGAAUUUGAUCCCUUUUUCACCAAAACUCUUUAAAAGGAUAAUUUAUAGUCACCGUGUCAUUUGCUCCCUGCAUUUUCUCUUUAAUCAUUUCAUUUCCAUACAGAUUUUUGCCCCCCACUACUCUAAUUAAACCUGUCCUCCACUUUGUUAAUCUUAUAGUUAUUUUUCUCACCUUACUUGAUUUAUCAGCAGCAUUUGAAGUAGAUUAUUCUCAUAAUACUAUCUUCAUUUGACUCCCUGGUUUUAUAUUAUUUGUAUACUUCUCUCUCUCUCUGUCUCCCUCUCUCUCUCUCUCUUUUAGUGUUUUCUUCUAUUCCUCAGACUCAAUGUUGGAAUGCUCCAGGCCUCAGUAUUUUAUUUCCCCCCACCAUCAUCUUUCUCUGUACUUCUUUCCUUGGUUAUCUCAUCCAAUCUCGUGGUUUUACAUGCAGUGUAAAUGCUAAUGACUCCCAAAUUUAUAUUUCCAUGCCAUAUCUCUAUCCCAAAUUCCACACGCAUAAAUCCAAUUGCAUUUUUUACACUUCCACCUGAAUGUCGUGAUGAUAAUGGGUCUAUUUUUCCUGAGACCCAUUCCUCACUCUGCCCAGUUCAGUUCAUAAGACAGAGGGGAUGAACACUGUGGAUUAUGUAGCUCAGAUUUUCUGAAAGCUGGCUUCCAGUUAGGCUCAAACAAUAGGAGACACAUGUAGAAAGAUGAAAGGCAGGAACAAGGAGAAAUCUAGAUAUUGUCUCAUUUUCUCCCUGUCAUCCCUAAUAACAGUUACAUUUUUUCCAGGCUCCUGCUCCUUUACAUAGGCCCACUGUGGUUCCAGCUUCCCCCAAAUAUCCCUCCCUGCAGCUCCAGUAGUACAGCCUCCUAUCCCUGUUCUCCAAGGGAAGGUGAUAGUAGCCUCCCAUUGUUGCUAAAUUGUAGGUUGCCUCACUGUCCCCUGGUUGGCUUUAAUUUUUUUAAAGUUAUUUCUACCAUCAAUUACCUGUAUCAAUUCCCUUUGUUUUAAAUUCUCAAUGAUUUCAGUUUUCCUGGCUAGUUUCUGAUUACUUCAGAUACCUAAUGGAAAUCUCAAAGAAAGUAUGACUCAAGAGAAAUUGUUGAUUUCCAUCUCCCAGCUACUACCAAACCUGUUUAUGCUUAUCCAUUUCAUUUGAUGGCAAGUCCUUCCUCUGGUUGCUUAAACUCAAAGACUUUAUAAUAUGUAGAAUCAACUACUUCUCACCAUGUCUACUGAGGUGUGAAUUACUACUGUUUUCCUCUUGGAUAAAGUCAAUAUCUAAAGAGGGGACUUUUCCUAAAAGUGUCCUCUUACAGUCAGUUACCAACACAAUAUCCACAGUCAUCCUUUUUACAUAAAAGAGCGUGUCACUUCUCUUCUUAGGACCUGUAGUGACCCUCUCUUUCAUUGAUGGUAAAAUUCUAAGGCAGUGUGAGUUUUAAAAUACCCUGUAAAUAUGUACAAUUAUUAUGUCAUUUAAAUAUAAUAUAUAUUUUUAAAAAUUAAAAACGUAUAUCAAGGCCCAAAUUACUUCUGUGUGCUCAUCGUUAACUCCCCUUCCUCACUCAUCUCCAGCCACACUGGUUUCCUUGAACCCCUUCAAACAAGCCAGAUAUGGGGCUGUCUUGGGCUUUUGCACCGUCUUUUCCCUCUGCCUGGGUUCCCUUCCUUCAGAUAUCUACAUGUUUAAUCCCUCACCACCUUUAAAUUUUUGCAUAAAUGCUAUCUUUUCAAUGAUGUUUUCUACGGCCUCCCUACUUAGCAUCUCAACCUGUUUCUUGGACCAGCAUUAGAAAAUGAAUAUAGAGAGAUGAACACAAUAUAUAUGGCCCUGCCCUCAUAGUCCUAGCAAUCUACAGGGACACAAAAUAAUAUGCAAAAAAGUAUUUGAAUUAUCUUCAGCACCUUUCUAAAGAAAAAAAGCUACUUAAAACUUACACUUAGAAGUGCUCAAUAUGAGUCAAUACAUUAUGUCACCACCUAAAGUAACAAGAUGUUAGGCUGCAACUGCUGUAUGUUUUGAAUGAGACUCAUUACACUACAAAGUCACAUACUUGUUUAAUAUUAUAAUAAGACAGAACUAAAUUUAAAUCAUAGUUAUACCAAACACUAGCUACUCUGAAUCUCUACAUCUCAAUGUUCUCACCAGCAAAAUCAAGCUAAUAAUAAUACUAGCUUCUUAAAGUUAUUUAAAAGAUAAAUGAGCUAAGAUAUGUAAUGCUCAUAGCCCAUUUAGAAAGGCAAAAUAUAAGGUACAGUACAUAGAAACCACUGACCAUUGGUAAUUCUGAAACACUACAGGUCAGACAGUUUGAAUGAACCAUAUACUAAAGGUUGGAAAAGUUAUUUGAUUAAACUCUGCCUUUUUUUUUUCUGGGAAGAACACAUAGAUUAAUCACUUUGUAUAAUCCCAACCUCUCCCUUCUUGGGAGUGGAGAUAGGGGAAACAGUUUUCAUCAUCUAUGAUCUUAAGUUUCCUCAUGCUCUUUCUCAUCGUUAAGACAAUACCACUUAUUUUAGCUUAUUGUUACAAUAGUAUUUCAUUUUUUUCUAACAACUUGGUAUUAGUCAAGAUGGGAUAUAAUAACAAAUGACUCUUGAAAUCUUCAUGGGUGCCAUGGGAAGUUUCAAGAACACAACUUGAAAGUGAAUUGCAUGACUUUGUUCUGUAUUUCAUUGACCACUAACUCAUUCAGUGAGCCUGAAAGUAACUGUGUAUAUCACUGUUAGUAUACUAUGCAUGCCAGAUACCCAAGACUCAAACUUUUCCUUUCCUUUAGAUACCACCUACUUAGUCAUCAAUUUUGGUUCAACCUACUCCACUAAAUAGCUUUGACUUCCAUUCACUUACCACUUUAGAUUAGUGCUAUAGACUCCUAUUUUACCUCCUUCAUAUCAAUCCCCUUAAAACUCCCAAUAGCUUCCAUUGUUUCAAACAAAAGCUCAAAUUCCUUUAAUGUAAAGUGUUAUAUGAACUGGCACCCUAUAUACUUUAUAUCCUAAUCUCUCAUCUUUCAUUUAUUUCUUUAACUCCUGACUCAUGUAACAAAAAUGUAUUUAUCUCAGCACGUAUUUGAUCCCUUAUUUGUUAUGCUCUCCCAAAUGUCCCUGUAUUUUUCAUUGAAUAGUAAUUGCCACAUUUUAUUUUAUAUGCUUGUGUUACCAUUUAUAUAUAUAUUUUCUACAGACUCUGCUUUUAGAAGGCAUACACUGGCCAGGCGCAGUGGCUCACACCUGUAAUCCCAGCACUUUGGGAGGCUGAGGCUGGCGGAUCAUGAGGUCAGGAGAUCGAGACCAUCCUGGCUAACACGGUGAAACUCCAUCUCUACUAAAAAUACAAAAAAUAAGCCGGGCGUGGUGGCGGGCGCCUGUAGUCCCAGCUAUUCGGGAGACUGAAGCAGGAGAAUGGUGUGAACCCAGGAGGCGGAGCUUGCAGUGAGCCGAGAUCGUGCCACUGCACUCUAGCCUGGGCGACAGAGUGAGAAUCUGUCUCAAAAAAAAAAAAAAAAAAAAAGGCAUACACUGUGAUAUUUGCAACAUCAAACAAACAAACAAAAAAACUAAAAUUGGAAGAAUACCCAAAAAUAACUCAAAGGAAUAAUUUUAGUUUCAAUUAAUUGAUUAUGGCCUUUAUCAUUUCAAGAUUUUUAUAUGUCUACUUUUAUGAACUCUAGGCUAGUUUUUUCCACUUUUAUUUCUACAAUCAUAGGGCCUAUUUUAUAUUUUCUCUUGCACUUGAUUAUAGAAGAGAUUGAAAUGAGUUAGGAAACAUGUACUUGAAACCAAUAAUGGGCACACUUUACAGGAUUCCAAAAUCUAAAAAUAUCAUAACAUAACUUCAGGGAAGAGUAAGAAGUAUUGGUGUCAUUUUUUUCCUUUUAGUAGAUUAGUUGAAGAGGUAAAUUGAACAUGGACUAUGUGUCAGACUUUUUUUUCCAAAUUAUAUUCUUAAAUAUAUAGUAAAACAUAUGCUAGAGACAGUUUUUUAAUAACAAACAAUAUUUGAAUUGAGAUCCUGAAGAAAAAUAAAUUAACUGUGUAAAAAUGUAUUACUAAAUAUCUGCAUUUUCUAGAGAUGUAUCCUUAAGUAUGUAGGUAUAAAAUUACACUCUGAGAUAUAUUUUUAAAAUAAUUUGGCAAGAAGAGAACAGGGAUACCUUAAGCAGAAACAACAAAAUUAUGAUAAUUGUUGAAUAUGUGUGAUGGUUGUAUGUUAAUGUAUUGAUUAUUUUGUGUGGGUAUGAAAACAUGAUAAUAAAAUCAAAUUACAAAAAAAUAAAAAAUACCUCUUGCUUUUUUAGCAGCUUAUUACAUUGUUUAUAACAGUGUCUACAGCGCUAUGAUUGGUCAGAGCCAGAGACUAUAACAUUUAAUAAAACGAGUCCUCUAGAAGCUCAUGGGAGUUCAUUUACGGCAGCGAAGACCUAUAUUAAAUGGACUGAAUAUUUAAGGAGUAAUUAUGUUGAGUAAUGUGUUUAUUUAUAGUUUUAAUUAUACAUUAUCUUUUUUGGUUAUCUUUAAAAUAUAUUAAGCUUAUGCAAAUAGGAUAUGCGUCAUAACCCAGGAUCUAUUAUCUGAAUUGCUUAUAUACUUAUAAUAACAUAACUUUAAAAGAAAGAAUCAAACCAUAUUGCUAGCUUACAGGUUGGAUCUUUCUAGACAAUAGUUAUUUACCUGAAUGUUUAUUUUUGUUUUGCAUCUUCAUCAGUUAAAACCAACAGUUACAAUACAAAUGAAAGUUAAAAAAUAAUAAUAUUAUUAAUGUGAAAUUUCAAUGUGCUUAGCAAUAAAUAAUGGGAAUAAGAAUUAUCCAGGAUGUACUAAAUGCUACAAGAAUUAUAUAAGUCUAAUGAACAUGAUGCUUUUGAACUUAAGUAAAUUCUAUGUGCUUAACUAUUUUUAUUGUUUAUAGAUUUAGGACUUCUGAAUGCAUUAUUUUUGCUGUUAUGGGAUAUUAUGAAUUCACCUUAGUAGACUUUUGCUUACAGGACAUAAAAUUAAUUUAUUCUAUGAAUUUUUUCUUCUUUUCCUAAAAAUGUGUAAGUUCUGUGAUUUCUUGGACUAAAAGAUAUCUAUUUACAUAGUGAAAGGCCAGGCCUUGUAAAGAUCGUGACAGUAUUCAAUCCUAUUCUUGUUUUUUUGUUUCAACGUGUUGCUAGUUAUCUUAUCUCAGUGUAUUGUAUUUAUAUAACUGCAUAUUUGAUUGAGAUACCUAACCUAUGAGACAUAUUAACAUAAUGAACACAUGUAAGCACACAACCCAAUUUAAGCAUAAGAACAGUAUCAAUAAUUUUGCAGUUAUCUUUCACUCUUUUUCAGUCACACAGAGACAACUAUACUCUUAAUUUUGUGUUUAGAGUCCUCUAUUUUCUUAAUAGACAGAUUGCACAUGGUUAAAGGUCUAUCUUUACAUCAAGAGAGCCUGUGUUUGGAUCUUGUUCACCCCGCUUAUGUCUCUUUUGAAGUUAUGCUUAAGCUUUAUCCCUUGUUCCUUUAUGGAAAUUUGAGUAUUUUAGGAAAAGUAAAAAAAAAAAAAAAAAAAAGAAAGAAACUUUAAA